GUUGCCAGGAAAACCAGUCAUUCUUCAGCUGUUCUUGAUGUUUACUUUUAAGAAUUUAAAAUCAAACCAAUAGAAAUAAAAGCAUUUGAAUUUUAAUUCCAGUUGACAUGCAGUGUCAACACACUUUCAAGGGACCUAGACUCGAUUUAAGUAAAAAAAUUCAAAUUUUAUUUUUUUUUCCGAUUUUGAAUGUUUUAAAUGUUUUAAAAUAUGGGUAUUAUUUUAAAAUGCUUUAUCAAAUUGGAAAUUCAAUUAGUGAGUUACAAGCAAACUAUAGAGUUUACUUAUGUGUUGUUUUGGUAUAUGUUCUAUCAAAUAAUUGUUUGUUUUUUUGGGGAGGUGGGGGGGGGGGGGGGGGGUAAUAAUAGUAUUUAUGAAUAAAUUGAAUUUUUUAUAUUGUUUGCCAGGAGUCAUUUUGUCAAAAGAAAUAAGAGAGAAUCUUACUUAACAAUAUUUGUAAGUUAAUAUGAUUGAUUUCAAGCUUUGUUAACAUAACAAUUAAUUAUUACCUCUGUAUCUCACUUGUAACUGUUGACUUCCAAGAUUCAAAUUUUGGUCAAUCAUUCAAAAUACCCAAAUAAAUGAUUUUAAUCAUG
rnacentral:sRNA from 1 species